GACGAACGCUGGCGGCGUGCCUAAUACAUGCAAGUCGAGCGAGACUCUUCGGAGUCUAGCGGCGGACGGGUGAGUAACACGUGGGCAACCUGCUUGUAAGACUGGGAUAACACCGGGAAACCGGUGCUAAUACCGGAUAAUCCUUUUCCUCUCAUGAGGAAAAGCGGAAAGUCGGUUUCGGCUGACACUUACAGAUGGGCUCGCGGCGCAUUAGCUAGUUGGUGAGGUAACGGCUCACCAAGGCGACGAUGCGUAGCCGACCUGAGAGGGUGAUCGGCCACACUGGGAGUGAGACACGGCCCAGACUCCUACGGGAGGCAGCAGUAGGGAAUCUUCCACAAUGGACGAAAGUCUGAUGGAGCAACGCCGCGUGGGCGAUGAAGGCCUUCGGGUCGUAAAGCUCUGUUGUUAGGGAAGAACAAGUACCGGAGUAACUGCCGGUACCUUGACGGUACCUAACCAGAAAGCCACGGCUAACUACGUGCCAGCAGCCGCCGUAAUAC
rnacentral:rRNA from 1 species